GACGAACGCUGGCGGCGUGCUUAACACAUGCAAGUCGAACGGAAAGGCCCUGCUUUUGUGGGGUGCUCGAGUGGCGAACGGGUGAGUAACCCUUGAGUAACCUGCCCUUGACUUUGGGAUAACUUCAGGAAACUUGGGCUAAUACCGGAUAGGAUCUCCUGCUUCAUGGUGGGUGCUGGACAGUUUCGGCGGUUGGGGAUGGACUCGCGGCUUAUCAGCUUGUUGGUGGGGUAGUGGCUUACCAAGGCUUUGACGGGUAGCCGGCCUGAGAGGGUGACAGGCCACAUCGGGACUGAGAUGAGGCCCGGCCUAGUACGGGAGGCAGCAGUGGAGAAUAGUGCACAAUGGGAGGAAGGCUGAUGUAGCACCGCCGCGUGCGGGAUAACGGCCUUCGGGUUGUAAACCGCUUUUGUCUGUGACGAAGCGUGAGUGACGGUAAUGGGUAAAGAAGCACCGGCUAACUACGUG
rnacentral:rRNA from 1 species